AUUGAACGCUGGCGGCAGGCCUAACACAUGCAAGUCGAACGGUAACAGGAAGCAGCUUGCUGCUUCGCUGACGAGUGGCGGACGGGUGAGUAAUGUCUGGGAAACUGCCUGAUGGAGGGGGAUAACUACUGGAAACGGUAGCUAAUACCGCAUAACGUCGCAAGACCAAAGAGGGGGACCUUAGGGCCUCUUGCCAUCGGAUGUGCCCAGAUGGGAUUAGCUAGUAGGUGGGGUAACGGCUCACCUAGGCGACGAUCCCUAGCUGGUCUGAGAGGAUGACCAGCCACACUGGAACUGAGAAACGGUCCAGACUCCUACGGGAGGCAGCAGUGGGGAAUAUUGCACAAUGGGCGCAAGCCUGAUGCAGCCAUGCCGCGUGUAUGAAGAAGGACUUCGGGUUGUAAAGUACUUUCAGCGGGGAGGAAGGGAGUAAAGUUAAUACCUUUGCUCAUUGACGUUACCCGCAGAAGAAGCACCGGCUAACUCCGUG
rnacentral:rRNA from 1 species